rnacentral:lncRNA from 1 species
GCAUUGGCUUGUUCAUGAUGAAUUGUAUUUAGCUGAUUUUCUUGAGCCAUGUAUUGUCCCCUAGGAUUACUCACUGGUUGGCUUGGAAGCUUUCCUUCCUCUCGCUUAUUCAGUGCAUAAGCUAGUUGCCCUAUUUGGGAUUCUAGCCUGGUGAUAGAUUGUGUGUGAGAGUUCACCAAUUGUGUAAUGGUUUCCAAACCUUGAAGGGAGGUCAACACGUUCUCCUCAAAGGCUGUGUUUCUAUAGGGUGGAGGAGGAGUGUGUGGAA